GGAAAGACCAUGUGAGGACCCAAAAAAGGAGGCACCAUGAAAGAUCUAUUUUCACAUGCAGUGUUGAAUAAUUUAUUACCACAUCGUACUCUGGACAUCCAGUACUAUGUUGAAUAAGAGUGGUGAGAGUGAGCAUCCCUUGUCUUGUUCCUGAACCUAGAGGAAAAGCUUUCAACUUUUC